rnacentral:misc_RNA from 1 species
UAAUAAGCGUUUUAUGGCACUUUUUAAAUCCAUAUCCACCUUGUGUGCAAUGUCGGUCGAUCUUUUUUGAGGAUCGACCAAACAUCAACUUUAUUUUUUAACUCUUUGUCUGAAAAAUAUUAUGAAUAAACAAUUCAAAAUA